UUCCCUAUUUUUCCAAACCCUAAACACUCUGCUCUUCAAACAUUUCAUUACUUUAAUCUCAAAUCCUCCAUUAUUAUUAUUCCUCAAUAAUCAAUCUCUUCAUAUAUAUGUUCUUCAUGUCUCAAAUUGAACCCAUUGUCCCCGAUUCUUGCUGUAUCUCCCCUCGCUUUCAUACCAACAGUUUUCGCCGCUCUCUUCGCUACAAUCGCCUUCCGCCCCAGCUCCUCCGCCUCUCCGUCUUGAAAUUGGACGGCUCUUCUUUCGAGGUGCAAGUUGAAAGGACGGCGACGGUGGCCGCGGUUAGAGAUGCGGUGGAGAGUGUUUUCUGUGAAAUGUCGAUGAAUAAAGAAGAUUUCAAUAUUUCUUGGCCACAUGUGUGGGGUCAUUUUUGCUUAUGCUAUAAACAUUUCAAGCUCAUGGACGACAAAUCUCGUAUUCAACAUUUUGGAAUUCGUGAUGGUGACCAGACACAUUACAAAUGAUUCAACAAAUGGAAUCCCUGUACAACUACAUUCAUUUUCAUUAUGGACUAGCAAAGCUGCAUUUUGUGGAAUUGAGAUGUCCCGUAGAAGAAUAAAUAGAUAUGUAGAAAGAAAUAUAGAAAGGUUGAAGAGAUGAACGGCUUCUGGUAUAAAGUGGUCAGAAGGUUUUGGGCGUGAAUUAUUAUUAUAAAUUUGGUCUAAUGAUGGAUCUUUUUUCUUCUAUUUUUCCCGACACCUAACAAGACGACGGUCAUGUUUGGAUUGAUUUUCUAAGUAUUUAUAAGUACAAAGAAAUGUUUACAAAUGGAUAGAAAGUUAAUCCAAACGGAUCCUUCGUUUCUGUGAUUCAACACUGUACUGUACUGUUUCAAUUCAGAAAUAUGAUUCAUUAGAAGAUGAGUCUCGAAUGUAGUUAAAUUGCUUUAAGAGAAAAACAGAAGACAGAAUGGCGAUCAUACUCUUCUUUGAUUUUUGAUCUCAGAUGGUGAACCCCAUCGCCUUGUCUAACUAACUUGGUGCAUGUUAGGAACUAUUUGGUUUGAAAUGGUUUUCUAAGAGUAUGUUUGGUUAUCUAUUUGUUUUCUGUUUUUCAUUUUCUAAAAUUAAUUUUAAAAAAGGUGUUUGUAAA